rnacentral:lncRNA from 1 species
AGCUUGGCCAAACACAAAUUAUUGUUCAAAAGUGCUUUUCAGAUUGAUUAGCCAAACACAAACUGCUUCUCUGCAAAAGUACUUUUUUCAAAAGCACUUUUAAAAAAAGCACUUCUCAAAAUAAGCUGAUUUCUCCAGCUUGGCCAAACAGGUUAUUAGUCUCGCUUCAAAUUUCAUGUUUCAAAUCUCAUACUCUCAUGUCUCUGCUGCUUGCAUGCAGUUCAAGCUUUCUAUAACGGGAUAGUCUUCGGUGGGCUUCCCACCUUGUUCUGGUGUGUAACUUGACCUUGGAUGGAUUUUGUUUUAAAUGAUUAAAAAAAACGUGAAAAUAAAAAAUACUGUAUCUACUACAUGUGCAUAAAAUGAUGUGACUGUCUUUCCAGCUGGGGUAAUUAUUUUGCAGAAACUUUUGUCUUCUGAAACACUUAAUUCUUAAUUUUGUUUGCAGGGCAAAUUGGCAAAUGUGGAAGAUCGAUCAGUAAGUUAUUCCUUCUCUAGUUUUUUUUUUCCUCGAAAGUUAAUAAUUAUUGUUCACAAAACAGAAGAAAAAAAAACACUAAGUGUAUAACUUGAAGGAACUCUGUGAAAUCUGAAAUAGAUUCUGCCUCUUCUACAACUCCAUUCUGCACAAAAAAUAAAACAUAAUUACAUAGUUAUACAUGAUUGCUGUAUUGAGUUUUGAAUAUGCCUUCAAAAUAUCUUGCAUUUCUUUCUUUCCAACCUGAAGUUCAUAAAAUUCAAGAAAAUCUGCUACACUUAAGGAUAAGCUUCUCUCAAGUAUAAAUAUUUUGAAUGUAAACUUUCCCUAAAUCUGAUAUCGUUUCGUGCCUGGGAUUCUAGUAGUUUUUGCCUGCUUUUGCGUUUAAUGUCUGGUGAGUUGGUCUUGUUUUAAUAUGAACUUAUUAUCUAUCCUCCUUGUAUUGAAUU